UACGUAGGGUGCAAGCGUUAAUCGGAAUUACUGGGCGUAAAGCGUGCGCAGGCGGCUUUGCAAGACAGAUGCGAAAUCCCCGGGCUUAACCUGGGAACUGCAUUUGUGACUGCAUGGCUGGAGUGCGGCAGAGGGGGAUGGAAUUCCGCGUGUAGCAGUGAAAUGCGUAGAUAUGCGGAGGAACACCGAUGGCGAAGGCAAUCCCCUGGGCCUGCACUGACGCUCAUGCACGAAAGCGUGGGGAGCAAACAGG
rnacentral:rRNA from 1 species